AGGAAAACUGAAAGAACUUGCGAUUUUAUAUGAAAGAAUUCCCAAAACAGAACAAAAAGAAACGAAUAUCACAGGCUAAAAUCCUACAAUCCUCUUUUCGCCAAUUUCAGAAAACUAGAAGGAUUAAGCCGAACUAACAAAAUCACAGAACAUCAGAGUUCCGGCAUUCAUCUCGUGCUCAAACUGCAAAAUGAACCAAAAAAAACUCACGACAACAACCUACUAGAUACAUCGCUGCUUUAGGAUUUGUUGCAAUCACAAAUCAGCCAGCUCUUAAUCAACACACUACACCAAGCAAAUCCACAAUUAAGGGAUAGUCCAGUAUAUACUCAUUCAAACCACAUCUCAAAUAUACACUAAUUAGACUGCCUCGGCAUUUAUCAUUUAGAUUCACAUAACGGCAGUAAAGGAUAAGAGAGGAACCUAAAAAUCGAAAGUUCAAUUAUCCUUUGAUGUUUUAAUAUGGUACAAACAGGAGAAAACUAAGCAACAAGCUCGAAAAGAAAAUCAAAUACUGAAAUCUGAGCCUUAGCAGCAAGCGCGACAGCCUCGAAUCAACCCUGACUCUCGAACUCAAUCGAACUCCAUUUUUAACAAAAUCUAGAUGGAAAUAAAAGACAGAACCUAUGUACUUCGAAAUUUAGAUGGUAAUUGAAGAAAAUGGGAUCACAGAAUAAACAUGUUUUUUUUUAAAUCUUUUUCUGAAAUUAAACUAAGAAUGAAGGUGAACAAUAGAGAAAAGGAAGACUAUUCUCUAGAACCCUAAUUUCCUCUCAAAAUCCGCCUCGAGAAAUCCUCUCUUCGAAGAAAAAUAUCUCCAAACAAUUCCCUCUAAAAUCCCUUUCCGAAAUUCAUAAAAAAAAUCUUCCUCAAGAAAAGUGUCGUGUUAUAUAUAUUCCUCCAAAGAUCUCGAACCUUCUUCCUUUAUCUCCAAUAAAUCCCUCUAAAAUCUCUUUCUAAAAUCUAAAUUUUUAACCUUGCUUAUGGUGAAAAUGGACAAAUGGAGGGAGUGGAUCGAAUCGAAUCCAAUCCAACGCUCCCCAUUUUUCCAUAUAUUCACCCCAAACGCUAAAUCCGAAAAAUAAAUCGAAGAGAUAGCAUGUGAGGGAGAGAAUCUGUCAGAGGUGGUUAGAAAUAUAGUUACGAGGAGAUAGGAAAACGCGUGAGGCGAGAUUGGGAGCUCACUCGCUUGAAUUUUGGGCUGAAAUGGGGUUUGGGUUUGGGUGUUCUUCAGAGAAGAAGAACAGUACGCGUGAGGCGAGAUUGGGAGCUCACUCGCCUGAAUUUUGGGGCUGAAAUGGGGUUUGGCUUCGGGUGUUUUUUAGAGAAGAAGAACAGUAUGCGUGGGUGUUCUUUGGGAUUCUAGGGAUUAAGCCAUUUUCUUUUAAUUAUGAACGGGUCAGGUCGGGGUUCUUGGGCUGGGUUACGCG
rnacentral:lncRNA from 1 species